rnacentral:rRNA from 1 species
UACGUAGGGUGCAAGCGUUAUCCGGAAUUAUUGGGCGUAAAGAGCUCGUAGGCGGUUUGUCGCGUCUGCUGUGAAAACUGGGGGCUCAACCCCCAGCCUGCAGUGGGUACGGGCAGACUGGAGUUCGGCAGGGGAGACUGGAAUUCCUGGUGUAGCGGUGAAAUGCGCAGAUAUCAGGAGGAACACCGGUGGCGAAGGCGGGUCUCUGGGCCGAUACUGACGCUGAGGAGCGAAAGCGUGGGGAGCGAACAGG